rnacentral:rRNA from 1 species
GUGUCAGCAGCCGCGGUAAGACAGAGGGUGCAAACGUUGUUCGGAAUCACUGGGCGUAAAGCGCGUGUAGGCGGUCUGGAAAGUCGGGCGUGAAAUCCCACGGCUCAACCAUGGAAGUGCACUCGAAACUGCCAGACUAGAGUCCUGGAGAGGAAGGCGGAAUACUCGGUGUAGAGGUGAAAUUCGUAGAUAUCGAGUGGAACACCGGUGGCGAAGGCGGCCUUCUGGACAGUGACUGACGCUGAAACGCGAAAGCGUGGGGAGCAAACAGGAUUAGAAACCCCAGUAGUCC